rnacentral:rRNA from 1 species
UACAGAGGGUGCGAGCGUUGUCCGGAAUCACUGGGCGUAAAGGGCGCGUAGGUGGCCCGACAAGUCAAUGGUGAAAGUUCGACGCUUAACGUCGAAUCGGCCACUGAUACUGUUGUGCUGGAGCACUGUAGAGGCUCAUGGAAUUCCGGGUGUAGCGGUGGAAUGCGUAGAGAUCCGGAAGAACACCGGUGGCGAAGGCGGUGAGCUGGGCAGUUGCUGACACUGAGGCGCGACAGCGUGGGGAGCAAACAGG